rfam:Ciona savignyi cont_2808, whole genome shotgun sequence.
GGUCCUGUGGCCCAAUGGAUAAGGCGCCUGACUAUGAAUCAGGAGAUUCCAGGUUCAAGUCCUGGCAGGAUCG